AAUACAACUUUCAACAGGGGAUCUCUUGGCUCUCGCAUCGAUAAAAAACGCAGCGAAAUGCGAUAAGUAAUGUGAAUUGCAAAAUUCAGUGAAUCAUCAAAUGUUUGAACGCAUCUUGCGCUCCUUGGUAUUCCUUGGAGCAUGCCUGUUUGAGUGUCAU
rnacentral:rRNA from 1 species